rnacentral:sRNA from 1 species
CAGAUGGAAUGACUGGCUACUGUAAUAAUACUACAGCAGUUCCAUAAUGCAUGAAAUCCUAAAAAGUAUGUAAUAUUACAAGUAUCUUUUCAAUACAGGUUUCAUUGCUAUUAUUCAUCAGUUUCCGUUUAGAUUACCUGUUCCGAUUUAAUAACCUUUGAUAAAUUUGAAAAAUUUGUCUUUCAAACAGAGCCUGUUAGUAUUAAUGAAGAAAAUGAGGGAUUUGAACAUAACACACAAGUUAGAAAUCAAGGAAUUAUAGCUUUGAGUUACCGUGACUGGGAGGAGAUUGUGAAGACCUUUGAGAUUUCAGAGCCUGUGAUUACUCCAAGUCAGAGGCAGCAGAAGCCAAGUGCUUGAUGCUAGCUGAAGGACUCAAAUGGAUAGUGAAGUCCAAAACGGAAAGCGGCAUGUAUUGUACAUAUUGUAUGAUUCAACAUUUUUAAAGGCAGAUUGUUUUUAGUAAAAUGUAGCUUUUGAUAGUUAAUAAAUUUGUCAUGGUUGUCUUUGAUUAAAGGAAACUCACCGCCAUAUUCACAAA